rnacentral:rRNA from 1 species
AUUGAACGCUGGCGGCAUGCCUUACACAUGCAAGUCGAACGGCAGCACGGGCUUCGGUCUGGUGGCGAGUGGCGAACGGGUGAGUAAUGUAUCGGAACGUACCAUUGAGUGGGGGAUAACGUAGCGAAAGUUACGCUAAUACCGCAUAUUCUCUCCGGAGGAAAGCAGGGGACCGCAAGGCCUUGCGCUCUUUGAGCGGCCGAUAUCAGAUUAGCUAGUUGGUGGGGUAAAAGCUCACCAAGGCGACGAUCUGUAGCGGGUCUGAGAGGAUGAUCCGCCACACUGGAACUGAGACACGGUCCAGACUCCUACGGGAGGCAGCAGUGGGGAAUUUUGGACAAUGGGGGCAACCCUGAUCCAGCCAUGCCGCGUGAGUGAGGAAGGCCUUCGGGUUGUAAAGCUCUUUCGGCCGGGAAAAAAUCGCAUGGAUUAAUACUCUGUGUGGAUGAUGGUACCGGAAUAAGAAGCACCGGCUAACUACGUGCCAGCCGCCGCCGUAAAAC